UUUUGCAGACGCUCUCUCCUGAAGAAACAAGGUGUUUCCAGUCAAGAGCCUCUCUGGAAAGCCAUGGCUGUUGCUCCGUUUGGGCAAGUUUCCAGCCUAAUAGUACUACUAUUGCUGUCUGCUGAGAGUUGCUGUGCCUGUGAGAGUCCCACACACUGAGCAACUUGCCAUAAAGGAGGAACUGUGCUACCAUGCAGAAAUGAGGGCUUUACUCAAACAGAUAAGCUCAGAUUGCUGUAGGUAAAGCUGCCAAAUAUCAGAGGGAGCACAUCGGAUUACGGUGAUCUUUCCACAAAGGAAAUGAGCUGAUAACUAUUACGAGCUGAAUGUGUUGUUGUGGGUGGAAUUUCCCUCCCAACAGGAAAUCAGAAGAAAACCUCUCAUCAGCUGGAAAAACUAAUAAAAGAAGAGGACUAGGAAAUUUGAAUGCAUGGAAGAAUAAACUCUCCUUGUACAUGUUAACUAAAACUGACCUUGCAACAGUCUUCACAUCCUGUUUCUGAACUUAAAUAGGGCAUGGACAAUACAACAACAGCCAUACAAAGGAUGGAAAUUCUAGUUCAGAAAAGUGUUUCACAUUUUAUAGUAUGACAUUAUUUUAAGCUGGAUAAAAGUCAAAAAAUUGAAUUUUCUUCUGAAUAAAAUUCCAAAGCAUUUUCCAGGCUCUUUGGUUUCAAUAUAAUAUACUUUGUUGAAAGCUGUUCCAAAACACAAUUAGAAAGUUACAUUUUUUCCAUUUUUAAACAGUUCCUGUGUACUCUGUUCAUGUUAUAAAUGUUAUAAACCAUUUUGUUACAAUUAUACA